GAUGAACGCUAGCUACAGGCUUAACACAUGCAAGUCGAGGGGCAGCAUAUUUAUAGCAAUAUAAAUGAUGGCGACCGGCGCACGGGUGAGUAACACGUAUCCAACCUGCCGUUUACUCGGGGAUAGCCUUUCGAAAGAAAGAUUAAUACCCGAUGGUAUAUAUUGAUUUCAUGGUCUUUAUAUUAAAGAAUUUCGGUAAACGAUGGGGAUGCGUUCCAUUAGGCAGUUGGCGGGGUAACGGCCCACCAAACCUACGAUGGAUAGGGGUUCUGAGAGGAAGGUCCCCCACAUUGGAACUGAGACACGGUCCAAACUCCUACGGGAGGCAGCAGUGAGGAAUAUUGGUCAAUGGGCGUAGGCCUGAACCAGCCAAGUAGCGUGAAGGAUGACUGCCCUAUGGGUUGUAAACUUCUUUUAUAAGGGAAUAAAGUGGAGUAUGUAUACUCUUUUGUAUGUACCUUAUGAAUAAGGAUCGGCUAACUCCGUGCCAGCAGCCGCGGUAA
rnacentral:rRNA from 1 species